rnacentral:rRNA from 1 species
CAGUAGCCGCGGGAACACCAGCACCUCGAGUGGUCAGGAGGUUUAUUGGGCCUAAAGCAUCCGUAGCCGGUUGCAUAAGUUUUCGGUUAAAUCUAUGCGCUUAACGUAUAGGCCGCCGAAAAUACUGUGCAGCUAGGGAGUGGGAGAGGUACACGGUACUCGAUAGGAAGGGGUAAAAUCCUUUGAUCUAUUGAUGACCACCUGUGGCGAAGGCGGUGUACCAGAACACGUUCGACGGUGAGGGAUGAAAGCUGGGGGAGCAAACCGGAUUAGAUACCCGAGUAGUCCCUGUCUCUUAUAC